GACGAACGCUGGCGGCGUGCUUAACACAUGCAAGUCGAACGAAGUGGCGAACGGGUGAGUAACACGUGAGUAACCUGCCCUCCACUUUGGGAUAACUCCGAGAAAUCGGGGCUAAUACUGGAUAGUGCAAGAUGAGCUCGCGGCCUAUCAGCUUGUUGGUGGGGUAAUGGCCUACCAAGGCGUCGACGGGUAGCCGGCCGGAGAGGGUGUACGGCCACAUUGGGACUGAGAUACGGCCCAGACUCUUACGGGCGGCAGCAGUGGGGAAUCUUCCGCAAUGGACGAAAGUCUGACGGAGCAACGCCGCGUGAGUGAUGACGGCCUUCGGGUUGUAAAGCUCUGUUAAUCGGGACGCGGUACCGGAAUAGAAAGCCACGGCUAACUACGUGCCAGCAGCCGCGGUAAUUC
rnacentral:rRNA from 1 species